rnacentral:misc_RNA from 1 species
UUUUGCUACGCAUCCAGCAACAGUGUUGAUACAAGUUGAACCUUGAAACCCUAGAAAUUUUUGAGAGAGACAGAGUGUUUGUGAGAGAGAGAAGAGGAUGAUUUUUAGAACUCCACCGCCGAAGAGACCUAGAGACGAUGCCAAAGCCAUCGAGAGCUCGCCGGUCGGUUCUGAUCGCCGGCUUGUUAUUUACGAAGACCCUGUGGUUCAAUUGCCUGAAUCCUCUCAUGAACCUCAACCGUCUGAUCACAUGCUCUGCACCUACCAAUGCCGCCG